UACGAAGGCCACAAGCGUUAUCCGGAUUUAUUGGGCGUAAAGCGCGUGUAGGAGGCUCGGUUCGUCUUUGGUUAAAUUUUGGGGCUUAACCCCAGAGCUGCCAGGGAAACCGCCGAGCUUGAGGGUGUUAGGGGCAGAUGGAACACAUGGUGUAGGGGUGAAAUCCGUUGAUAUCAUGUGGAACACCAAAGGCGAAGGCAUUCUGCUGGGACAUUCCUGACUCUGAGACGCGAAAGCGUGGGGAG
rnacentral:rRNA from 1 species